UACGAAGGUGGCAAGCGUUGUUCGGAUUCAUUGGGCGUAAAGGGUGCGUAGGUGGCGGGGCAAGUUUGGUGUGAAAUCCCGGGGCUCAACCUCGGAACUGCACUGAAUACUGCCUUGCUUGAGCACUGGAGAGGGAACUGGAAUUUACGGUGUAGCAGUGAAAUGCGUAGAUAUCGUAAGGAAGACCAGUGGCGAAGGCGAGUUCCUGGACAGUUGCUGACACUGAGGCACGAAGGCUAGGGGAGCAAACGGG
rnacentral:rRNA from 1 species